rnacentral:rRNA from 1 species
AAUCUUCCGCAAUGGACGAAAGUCUGACGGAGCAACGCCGCGUGUGUGAUGAAGGUUUUCGGAUCGUGAAACUUUGUUGUUAGGGAAGAACAAGUAUCGGAGUCACUUACGGUACCUAGCAGGCACCGGACGAGAAAGCCACGGCUAACUAUGUGCCAUAUGCCGCGGUAACACGUAGGUGGCAAGCGUUGUCCGGAUUUAUUGGGAGUAAAGCGCGCGCAGGCGGUCUUUUAAGUCUGAUGUGAAAUCUUACAGCUUAACUGUAAGCGGUCAUUGGAAAAUGGGAGACUUGAGUGCAGAAGAGGAGAGUAGAAUUCCAUGUGUAGCGGUGAAAUGCGUAGAGAUAUGGAGGAACACCAGUGGCGAAGGCGACUCUCUGGUCUGUAACUGACGCUGAGGCGCGAAAGCGUGGGGAUCAAACA